GAUGAAGAACGUAGUGAAAUGCGAUAAGUAAUGUGAAUUGCAGAAUUCAGUGAAUCAUCGAAUCUUUGAACGCACAUUGCGCCCCUUGGUAUUCCGGGGGGCAUGCCUGUUCGAGCGUCAUUAUAACCCUCAAGCCUAGCUUGGUGUUGGAGCAUGCUAUCUAGCAGCUCUUAAAAUCAGUGGCAGUGCCCUUCGGCUCUAAGCGUAGUAACUUCUCUCGCUAUGGAAACCGGAUGGUACGCGCCAAAACCCCCAACUUUCUAUGGUUGACCUCGGAUCAGGUAGGGAUACCCGCUGAACUUAAGCAUAUCAAUAAGCGGAGGA
rnacentral:misc_RNA from 1 species